UUGUACAUAUAUGUUCCUAUUAGUCAAGAAGCGUGCCAGUGGUCUGACAACCAAGGAUGCCGAUGACCGUGCGAAGUGGAGAAAAAGUAGGAAAGUGGACCCGACACUUAACGACCGUGGAAGAAACCGGAAAGACGAAGGGAUCAGGAAAUUAUGAGAUAGAGUAGAUUGAGAUAUAUAUAAUAUGAGUUUUAAGGAUCAUGCAGAAAAAUUUAUCUGAAAUAAAAAAUCGUGUUAAUUUGCGCAACCAAGGCUGGCGGCAAUGUUUGGAAUUUAUUUAGUUAGUAACGGAUUUUGAUGUACUACCUUUUAUGUCCAUUGAUUUAUGAUAUCAAUCAAAACACUCUUGACUUCCUUCAGUAUCACCUGCCAAUCAGUCCUCUGGCAGAUUAACGUUAACAGUACCUAACUUUUUAUAUGUUUGGUCUUAAACGUGCUUCAGGUGUCAGCGACCUCUAUACUCUGCAAUUUAUUAAAUUAUAGAUCAUAUCAACCUAUAUAAGCCGUUGUUCUUAAGAGUAUAUACUCAUUUGUCGGGUAAUAAGACUCCAGACAUUAUUUCUAAAUAGUUGACUUGUUUUAUAAAAAUGGUUUGUCCUAUGGAAGUACUUUUUAUAUUUAGUUUAAUUUCAAUCGUUCGAGGAACACCAAUUUUUCUAACAGGAUCAUCCCCCUCUGGAGACGCAGUUAUUGCCAUUUCGUCAGACAAUCCAGAUGUCGAGAAGUAUUUACGAUUCGGAUUCUCAAAGCUUGACAACACAGAUGACGCAAUUGUCACCGAGGCAAAAACUGUUGAUGAUAACAUCAAAAGUGUAGCAGUAUCCAGUAGAUUAUCGCCAGAAGCUAAUGAUUUGAAUACGGGAAGAAGUUUUGCCUCUUCUUCGUUCAAUCCGUUCUUGCUGCCAUUUUUCUUCUCACCAUUAAAUUUAGAAGGCAUUGGACUAGCAAAUUCAGGCUCUUGGAACUGGCAGAAAGGCGUCGAAGGUUAUUACGACCCUGCCUUGUCGGGAAAUGGACAAAUUACGACAGUCGCCGCCGUCAAUGACAAUGGGCGUAUUUUUGGAAAUGUGAAAACUGUCAACAUUGAAAACAAAUCAUAAUACAGUAACCUAAGGAAGGUCACUUUUUAUGAUUUAGGCAUUUUGUAUGUAGGAAUAGGAUAACUUAUGUCAUAAAUUUAAAAUAAACAAAAUUUUAAGUAUC